UGCCUGAACUUUAUUUUACAGAUUCCAUUAGUUUCAAGCAUCGAAUGAUUAACAGAUCAUAAAUAUCUCCAUUUGGCACCACGGAAUGGCGAACUCCAGCAAAGUAUCGGACGAUCGAAAUUUACAGCAAUGGAUAUUUUUUUUCGGUGGGACUUUCGACUGUCGACAAUGGUUUCACGAAAGAUGGGAUACAGGUCUGUAUGAGUAACGAAAUUAAAUGCGAGGCAGAACUGAUUCUUGCGCAAUACCUUAACUUUAUUGAUUAUUGGAAAGGAAAGUAUUCUGCACUAACAUGCAAAUAUACAAGUACAUGUAAGUUCGACUUCGUUAAUAUUGAGUUACAAUGAAGGUUUCUCAGCUAAUUUGCAUUAUUGAAUUCUAAUUCUUAACAUUGCGGUUAUAUUUCUUUUUCCGCUAUUUUUUCUUCCAUUUGAAUCCUAUAAUCUUACGAAGUGUAAAGAAACCGAAGUAUUUAGAGUAGUAUGAUAAAAUAUUUGUUAAAUUAUGGACAUUUUUUUGGAACUAGUAUUUUCUUUUUUAAAUAAUAUUGCAUUUACACAAUUUCUAUGCAUUUCUUUGCUACUCGAUCCAUAGGUUGAUAUCUCAAUCUUAAUCUGAUUUCCAACUUGUCUUAAUAAAUAUGUAUUCGUAAAUAUUAAAAAUGAUAAAUACUAUUUUAUAAAAAUAGCAAAUAUUACAAACAGAAGUUCUUAGAAAUUAUUUUCAUAGAAAAACAUUUCGCUAAUAAAAUUUCUAUCUGUUUCUUGUAAUAGGUGAAUAUAAUACUCGACUGUUUUACAUUGUCGUCAUAAAUAUCGAAGCUGUCGUGUAGUAAAGGACAAAGAAUUAGAACGAUAUUUGAAUCCCUGGGAUUGGCAUUGAAUACUCGUCGACAAGGAGUUCUACGAUUGUUUGCUGCGCAGGUAGCAUUUCUUGCAACGCCGUCUUUCCUUUUCCGAUAGCUCUACAUGCGCAUACAGCCGCAUUAAAUUGUAGGCGGCGUAGAAGUGCUGAUAAGGCUGAUAUCGCACACAUAAGGCGUCCAUAAAUGGUGUGUAAAAGUAUGAAUGGAACAUUCUUCUUCACCCGAUAAAGCGACGAGAAAAUAACCCUAUGCUUUUUUAUGGCUUCCUCCGAACUGCGUAUUCCUAUAUUUCAGAGUUCUAUAAGCACAAAAUACGGAAUGAUGAAUUAAACGUUUCGUAGAAUGUCCCAUUCAAGGAAUAAGUAGAUCUUCAUCAAUAACUCCAUCUGAAAUACCUAGAUAACAUAAUAAAAGGUAUUUUAUUGCAAAAUGAUAAUGAUAGUGAGGAUUUCUAUAAAAUCACCAGCAACGACCGUGUUAAGAUUUUACUUAAGAAUCGAAGAACAACUUUAUUAAUUACAUUUAAUAUAAAUCCAGUAGGAAUACGAAAGUGAAACAUUUUCUCGUAUUGCUAAUCCGUUAUCGGCAUGAAAUAAAGAAUCGUUAUAGGUACUCGCGGAUCGUUGUAAAAGUGGUUACAAAAUUAUUCGAGCAUGGAACUUCGAAUCAGUCCUUCAGGCUGUGUAGAGGAAACGACACGAAUUCUAAUGAUGGCACUCGCUUGUUUCGUAGGUCUACUGUUCACUGAUUCAGAGUGUCAGAUAAGCUUUCGAGGCUUGAAAGUUUCGCUGCCCGCUCGUUGCGUCGCACAUAACGAAACGCGACAGAGUUAAUUAUUGUUUCAGUUACUGCGAGGACGCUUGACACUCGAGAUUGUCCGAUCGUACUUCUAAAAAUGCAGGACGCGCUUAUGGUUAAUGCAUGUUAACGUGUGCCGUUCAGUUGAAUAGAUACAACGAAGCAAAUGUAACGAGAGCGUGUUGUAAUCGACUUGUUAAGAUCUCGGAAAAAUAGGAAAACUUUGAACGAAUGUGCUCUGUUGAAUAAAACAAACGCAGUUCUAGAAACAUGUCUGUCGCAACGAUUUGCAUAACGUAGCAAUUGCUAUUUCAUGACAAACGUAUUUUCAUUUUACAGUUAACUGUAUUAAUUUCUUGCCGAUGUAAAUCAGCGAUAUCGAUGUGAUACAAGUUAUAUUAAAAUCCAAUACUUAUCGUAUUUGUGAUGAAACUGCACUUCGAUUAUGCAUGUUUUAGUUUACAUUUUAUGGAAUGUAUAGUAUUUCUCUCUGACUUUUCUCUGUCAUUGUCUCUGCCAUAUAACAAAUUACAAAUAAAAUAAAUAAUAAAUCUGAAUAGAUAAGUAAAAUCAUUUUUUACAAGAAGAUCUUUAGGAAUACAUUUCAUAAAUAUGAGAUUGUUUAAUUAGUUUAGUUGAAACAAAGCACAAAGUUAUAUUUACACAUUGUACAACGUUAGAAAUCCUUUAAAUAUCAGGCUAUGUUUCAUUAAAAUUCUAUGAUAUUAAAUCUGUAUAACUUUUUGUUUAAUAACGGCUGUGUUAGAAAAAAUUAAUUUAUACUUGUAAAAAUUAAUUUACACAUUUUUUAGAGAUAGUUUCUAGUUAACAUCGCAUGAU